UAACUUUUCACUAUUCUAAAAGUGCAGGUAUCUUUUUAUUUAUAUAGCUUUUUAGAUGAUAUUAAAGAAAAAUUCCAAUGGUGGAAUUUAGAUUUAAAAGUAUGAAUAAACCAAAUAGCAAGAAAAAUCAUGGUUUCUUUCCUAGGGAAACACUUUCGUUUUUCUCAUUUCUAAGCUGUCCUAAAACUUUGAACCUGCAGUCCAGGAUUAACCCCAACUCUUUUUCACACCUACAGGAGGCGUAAUCUUAUGAGAAUUUCUGUUUUCUAAGACCAUUAAUUGCUCAAUACUUCAUUUUAGAGGUCACGUUGGCCUGUUUUUCACUGAUUCGAUCAUGACUAUUCCUUGGCUUUGAAUAGCUUUUCUCAAAUGCCACCGGGUAAGAUCUCCUUGAUCCCUUUGGACUCCUAACUCACUCACACAAAAUCAAGAGUUAACUUAUCGCAAGUUAUCACAGGUUAACUUCUUAGAGGGGCUUCUGCCCUUGCCUUUGAAAUAAUGUAAAAUUUAUUUGACAUUACAAAAGAAUAAGACAACAAAUUAUAAAGCACUAGCCUUGAAAAAGUCUUUUUUUUUUUUUUUGAGAUUUUAUUUAUUUGUUUGACAGAGAUCACAAGUAGGCAGAGAGGCACAGAGAAAGAAGAGGAAGCAGGCUCCAUGCUGAUCAGAGAGCCCAGUGUGGGGCUCGAUCCCAGGACCCUGAGAUUAUGACCUGACCCGAAGGCAGAGGCUUAAACCACUGAGCCAGCCAGGCACCCCUAGCCUUGAAAGUCUUAUGAGUGUGUGAAAUGUGGGUAGGUUGUCAGGCUGAAACAAAGGAGGACCUUUAUUCUUGAUACUAAAGACUCCUCUCCAAUCACUUAGACCUUCCUUCAAAGACAAUGAAAGGUGAUGUUUCCCUGGUCCUGGGAAACCAACCACCACUCUACACCCUCUCCCCACCCGCAGACACUCCUAAGCCAGAGAUUGUGAUAGGCAGCUUUCUGGGCAGGUGGCAUCCAGCACCACCCCCAGUGAUGGCACUGGAAGGGAGAAGCCUGCUGGAUGACGAAUGUGAGGGUGAACAAGGGUUCACCCUCACAUUCAGGUACAAAGAGACUUGCCUUCACUGUCCAGAUGAGAAGGAGCAAGUCCGAAUUUAAGACUUGGAAUUGGAGAGUUCUAGCUAUUAGUUACAAUGGUUACAUUAACUAUUGAUUAUAUUGUCCUCAACACAAUUGGCUGCUGAGAUUGAUUGUAACUACUUAGCUUUGCCAUGCAACUCCCAUUUCCAUGGAUUCCCAGAAACCAGGCAGCAACAGCAGAGAGCAAACUCCAAGCCUUGAUUGUCCCGAGACAUCUCAGAUCUGUCCUUUUUAUUUUAAAGCAUGCCUUAACAGCCAGAGUUUCCUAGAGGGAAGGGACAAUACGGGUAAACUUGACAUUACAUUCGAGCAAAACCAUCUCAUAUAAUCCACAAAAACAAGUGCCUAGUAUAAAAAUAAGUCAACAUACUAAAUUGGAAUAAAAGCAAAGCCAGAUCUAAAGUAAAAAUAAAAGUUAAGUGAUAAAUUCUAUUUACUUUAAAUCAUCAACAACUAAACCAAGAACAAAUAUUUUUAACAUCUAUAGAUUAUUAUUAAAAAUGCAAACAUGAAACUAAUUAGAGAUUAAAUUCAUCGACAUGACAGUAUUUUACACCAGACAGGGAAGAGGUGUAAAGGACAAUUUGUCAUGGCCCUAUGCUUAAAUCCUUUGUAGGUUUCUUGAGGGAGAGCUUAUAAAAUAAGCAUAACAGGGGCACGUGGGUGGCUCAGUCUUUGGACAGCUGCCUUCGGCUCAGGUCAUGAUCCCUGUGUCCUGGGAUUGAGCCCAGGCUCCUUGCUCAGUAGGGGGCCUGCUUCUCCCUCUUGCAUUCCCCUUGCUUGUGUUCCCCCUUUCACUGUGUCUCUCGCUGUCAAAUAAAUAAAUAAAAUCUUUUUUAAAAGAAGCAUAACAAAUAGAAAUGAAAUUAUUUUAUUUAUGAAAUGUUGUUUCACGAGUUAAGGUAUAGUUUUCCCCUUAAAAAACAAAGGCUUGUAUGAGGGUAGUUCAUUUUGGGAAGCAGUCCCAAGAAACAGCAACAGAGGACAGUAGGUAGUGGAAAAAAGGAGGGAAAGCCAAUAUAAGUGUGCUUUCUUGGGUUGGGCACUAUUGUUGGCGUCUGGGACUCUCUAACAGUGUAGACUGUGCCUCAGAGUGUAUUACCCAGGAGAUGGAAAAAGGGGGCAUAUGCCCCUUAUCUACUAGCUUGCAACCCUCAUGGGUUAAAUUUGACCUGUGGAUAUUAACUCCCUUGUUUUUCCAGGCUGUACAUGUGAGAGAGGGUGACAGAUUCCCAAAGGGUCCUUCAAGAUGGCAGCAGAAAAGCCAGAGGUCGGAAUGCAAGAGAUAAGGGGUGAAGUCGAUGUGAGGGGCUAUCAGGAUGCACCUGCGAGCAGAGGUACUGGCUGCAGCAGUGUCUGCAGUGGAAGGUGAGCCAAGGGGAAGAGACAGGGUGCGGGAAGAAACUACCACAUCUCAACAUGUCAGUUCUAACCGACUUGUAGUGGCUGCUGGGAGUCUGGGAUUAAGAAGAAUCCAUAAGCUGAGUCUGGACUUAUCAGCAAAGAACCCCAUGUCCAUGAGGAAUGAAGUUGAGGAGGACUGUAGUGAACAGAGCCGCCGGAAAGCAACACAACAGUUUGAAAAUGCUCUCACUCACAGGAAUGUUUAGAUUCCACUAUAAGAUGUAACACAGAACAACAUUCUUUUGUCAGUGUCCGACAAAACAAAUCUUUCAUGAGUUGGAUUGGCAGAUAAUAACCAGUUCCUUUGGAUUCAUGUGCUUUCGAUCAAAGAGAAUAAACCAUAAGAAGAAUGGCAAUGAGUGUUUUCCACAUUAAUAUCAUCAGAUGGUGACAUGAUAUUGACUUUUCAGAGAAGGAAAAAGAGUCUCAGGACAUCCUCAGGAAUGUCUCAUCAUCCCAUCUUCAUGAUGAGAAAAACAAGUCUUGGAGACCAUCAAACCAGAAGUUCGCUGAGUUGGAAUCGGGCUGGAUCUGGCAUCAAAACCAAGCUCCUGCAUUUUACCAAACUGCCCCCCCCCCUUUGAGAAGAGUUGCUGCCUUUAAUCUUUAAACCUGACCAGUACUAUUAUGUUCAUGUACAGCUGAGUAUGCUGAGACUCGGGGACCUCAUGAGUGAGGAAACCAAGACAUGAGUCAAAUCUGACUCUGGAAAUGUUCCUCUUUCCACUACGGGAUGCAGUCUUCUACAAUGGCACCUACUUUUUAAUAAGUUGCAUACUUGCUUUGUGAACACUCAGAGUUUACCCUGCUACCACUUUAAGUGCCUCUAUAAUAAAGUCUUUUGUUAAAAAAAAUAACAAUAAUAAAUAAAGUCUUUUGUUAUGGCAUCUGAAAUGUGGCUUUAGACAAAUUCUUCCCUUCGGCUCCUCUGUCUCCUUCUCAGUUUCCCCCUCCACUUGUCCUUGGAAUGAUUCAUCUUUCCAUCUUCUCUUCGGCAGGCAUGGAUUGUCCCUGAGGAUGCUUACAGAACUUAAAAUAUCAGCCAGAAUGCCAGCUUUAAAUUACAGUGAGAAAUGGAGCUAUCAAGCUCUCUGGUGACUCAUGCUUGUUGAUCGGUCCUCUCUCUCCCUGUGGGCAAAUCUACGUGGGAUGUUAAAUUUAUAAUUGGGAGAUGAAUUGGAACAAGAGAAAUUAGAUGAGGUGACUGAGUGUGACAGGUUACAUUGGUCCAAUGCAUUCAUUUCUGCAUUUGGGAUUUUGCUGCCACAAGCUCCGGCUGGUUGAACCGUUGGACUGGGACACGAACUCCCAGACGGCGCAACUGUAGUGUUGAAAAGUUGGUACUGUGUUUGAUAUACCUAAACAACUUUAAAAAAUUUUUAAACUGAGAUGCACAGUUAGUAUGAAAAUAUUUACAGAAUACGUGUAAGAUGUAAAAGAUAAAUACAGUGAACAUCCACUUAUUCACUGUCCAAGCAAGAAAAGAAGGGGCGCCUGGGUAGCUCAGUGGGUUAAGCUUCUGCCUUCGGCUCAGAUCAGGAUCCCAGGGUCCUGGGAUCGAGCCCCAUGUUGGGUUCCCUGCUCAUCGGGAAGCCUGCUUCUCCCUCUCCCAUCCCCCCUGCUGUGUUACCUCUCUCUGUCAAAUAAAUAAAAUCUUUAAAAAAAAAAAAAAAGAGAGAGAGAGAGAAAGAAACAGAAUAUCACCAAGAAUGUUCAAGUCUCUCAUGUGUCCCAUUUCUUUUCUCAAAUCACUAUGAUCUGGCAUUUUGUGUUUAUCAUUUCAUUCCUUCUCAUAAUAGCAUUACCUUUUCCCCGACUCCCUAAACAACAUGUUGGUUUUAUAUGAAUACAAUCAUGCCAGAUAUAUUUUUUAUCAAAUUGUUCUUUAAUUCAUGUUGUUUUGUGUAGCUGAAAUUUAUUAAAUGUCACUAGUACAUAGUAAUCCAUGGUAGUAACACAUAGCUUAUUUAUGUGUCCUGUUGCUAAUAGACAUUUGGGUUUUUCAGAAUUUGUCGAAAUAAUAAAUAGUGCAGCUAUGCACAAUUUUGGGCAUUUGGCUUGGGGCAUAUGUGCAUGGAUUUUCAAAAAUGGAAUUCUUGGGCCAUGGGGUAGGCAAUUUUCAAUAUUAUUAGAAAAUGAUAAAUUGUGUUUGGUUGUAGCUAUUAUAGAUAUUACUACCAGCAGUAUAAAAUCCAUGCUUUUCCCACAUUCUUACCAGCAUGCAGUGUUGCCAGACUUUAAUUUCCAUUGUGGGUAUGAUAUUUUAUCUCAUUGUGAUAUGAAUUUACACUUCAUCAUUUCCAAUAAAGUUGAGCAUCUUUUCUUGUGUUUAUUUCCAUUUACGAUUAUGCAUCAGUAGAGUUCUUGUUGAAAAUUUUACCGUUUGUUAUGGAGUUGUUUCAUUUUUAAUUGAUGUUUAGAAGGUUUUGUGUUCAUUUUUCAUUUUUCAACAUAUUUGGAUGUUAAUUUUUUUGUCAGUUUUAUGUGUUGAAAGAUCUGUUUUCCCAGUUUGUACAUUUUUCCUUUAACUAUAUUUAUAUUUUUGAAUGAAAUGAUAGAAUUUAACUUUUCCCUUAUGGUUUGUGUGUUUUAAGAAAUUCUUUCCUAUAUAGAGGUCAUAAAGAUAUUCUCCUUUGUUGUGAGUCUUGCCUUUCUAAUCUAAGAGUUUAAUUUAAUGGAACUGGUUUUUAAAUAUAGUGUGUGAUAGAGAUACAAUUUUGUUUUAUCACUUGUGGAUACCCAAGUGUACCAAGAUAAUUUAUUGAAAGGUACAUUCUUUCUCCAAUGAGAAAGUCUAUAUCAAAGAUCCAUAUGUAAGUAGAUCUGUUUGGGGCUUUCUCUUCUGUUUCAUUUGAUGAUCCUGUGACAAUACCCUCUGUUGUAAUUAUUAGAGUUUUAUAAUAAUUCCAAGUAUGUGAUAAAGUAAGUACCUUUUUUUCUUCUUCAUCUUGGCCCUUUAUAGAAAUUUUUAAAUCAGUUUGUCAAACGACAAAAUGUCUUUUGGGAUUUUGAUGGGAACAUGAUUGAAAAUACCAAACGGUUUGGGAAAAAUAGGUGUUCAUAUGACAUCAACUCUUCUUAUCCAUGUAUCUGAUUUUCAUAUCUAUGUUUAGUUAGGUUUUCUUUUUCUUUCAAUAAAGCUUUACAAUUUUCUUAUAAA